GCCGGGGUGGCGGAGCGGUUAACGCGCCGGACUCGAGAUCCGGUGUCCGUAAGGACGCAGGGGUUCGAAUCCCUUCCCCGGCG
rnacentral:tRNA from 1 species